rnacentral:rRNA from 1 species
AGACCCGAAACCCGGUGAUCUAGCCAUGGGCAGGUUGAAGGUUGGGUAACACUAACUGGAGGACCGAACCGACUAAUGUUGAAAAAUUAGCGGAUGACCUGUGGCUGGGGGUGAAAGGCCAAUCAAACCGGGAGAUAGCUGGUUCUCCCCGAAAGCUAUUUAGGUAGCGCCUCGUGAAUUCAUCUCCGGGGGUAGAGCACUGUUUCGGCUAGGGGGCCAUCCCGGCUUACCAACCCGAUGCAAACUGCGAAUACCGGAGAAUGUUAUCACGGGAGACACACGGCGGGUGCUAACGUCCGUCGUGAAGAGGGAAACAACCCAGACCGCCAGCUAAGGUCCCAAAGUCAUGGUUAAGUGGGAAACGAUGUGGGAAGGCCCAGACAGCCAGGAUGUUGGCUUAGAAGCAGCCAUCAUUUAAAGAAAGCGUAAUAGCUCACUGGUCGAGUCGGCCUGCGCGGAAGAUGUAACGGGGCUAAACCAUGCACCGAAGCUGCGGCAGCGACGCUGAUGCGUUGUUGGGUAGGGGAGCGUUCUGUAAGCCUGUGAAGGUGUGUCGUGAGGCAUGCUGGAGGUAUCAGAAGUGCGAAUGCUGACAUAAGUAACGAUAAAGCGGGUGAAAAGCCCGCUCGCCGGAAGACCAAGGGUUCCUGUCCAACGUUAAUCGGGGCAGGGUGAGUCGACCCCUAAGGCGAGGCCGAAAGGCGUAGUCGAUGGGAAACGGGUUAAUAUUCCCGUACUUGGUGUUACUGCGAAGGGGGGACGGAGAAGGCUAUGUUGGCCGGGCGACGGUUGUCCCGGUUUAAGCGUGUAGGCUGGUUUUCCAGGCAAAUCCGGAAAAUCAAGGCUGAGGCGUGACGACGAGGCACUACGGUGCUGAAGCAACAAAUGCCCUGCUUCCAGGAAAAGCCUCUAAGCAUCAGGUAACAUCAAAUCGUACCCCAAACCGACACAGGUGGUCAGGUAGAGAAUACCAAGGCGCUUGAGAGAACUCGGGUGAAGGAACUAGGCAAAAUGGUGCCGUAACUUCGGGAGAAGGCACGCUGACACGUAGGUGAAGUGAUUUACUCAUGGAGCUGAAGUCAGUCGAAGAUACCAGCUGGCUGCAACUGUUUAUUAAAAACACAGCACUGUGCAAACACGAAAGUGGACGUAUACGGUGUGACGCCUGCCCGGUGCCGGAAGGUUAAUUGAUGGGGUCAGCGCAAGCGAAGCUCCUGAUCGAAGCCCCGGUAAACGGCGGCCGUAACUAUAACGGUCCUAAGGUAGCGAAAUUCCUUGUCGGGUAAGUUCCGACCUGCACGAAUGGCGUAAUGAUGGCCAGGCUGUCUCCACCCGAGACUCAGUGAAAUUGAACUCGCUGUGAAGAUGCAGUGUACCCGCGGCAAGACGGAAAGACCCCGUGAACCUUUACUAUAGCUUGACACUGAACAUUGAGCCUUGAUGUGUAGGAUAGGUGGGAGGCUUUGAAGUGUGGACGCCAGUCUGCAUGGAGCCGACCUUGAAAUACCACCCUUUAAUGUUUGAUGUUCUAACGUGGACCCGUUA